GAUGAACGCUGGCGGCGUGCCUAAUACAUGCAAGUCGAGCGAACGGACGAGAAGCUUGCUUCUCUGAUGUUAGCGGCGGACGGGUGAGUAACACGUGGAUAACCUACCUAUAAGACUGGGAUAACUUCGGGAAACCGGAUCUAAUACCGGAUGAUAUUUUGAACCGCAUGGUUCAAAAGUGAAAGACGGUCUUGCUGUCACUUAUAGAUGGAUCCGCGCUGCAUUAGCUAGUUGGUAAGGUAACGGCUUACCAAGGCAACGAUGCAUAGCCGACCUGAGAGGCUGAUAGGCCACACUGGAACUGAGACACGGUCAAGACUACUACGGGAGGCAGCAGUAGGGAAUCUUACGCAAUGGGCGAAAGCCUGACGGAGCAACGCCGCGUGAGUGAUGAAGGUCUUCGGAUCGUAAAACUCUGUUAUUAGGGAAGAACAGAUGUGUAAGGAACUGUGGACAUCUUGACGGUACCUAAUCAGAAAGCAACGGCUAACUACGUG
rnacentral:rRNA from 1 species